rnacentral:lncRNA from 1 species
UUUUGAGUGAAUUCCAAACUCUAGAACUAUACAAUACACCAUCCACUCCAUUUCAGAACGAACUUCGUAUGAACGUGAAUUCUCCAAUUUCAUGGACCAAUCGAUAUCGGAUUACGUCCAAAACUUGGGGAACAACACAACAUAGGGGCAGGAGUCAUUUGGUGGGGUUUGAGUGAAAUCCAAUCUCUAGAACUAUACAAUUAACCAACCACUCCAAUAG